GAUGAAGAACGCAGCGAAAUGCGAUACGUAGUGUGAAUUGCAGAAUUCAGUGAAUCAUCGAAUCUAUGAACGCACAUUGCACCUCUCGGUAUUCCGGGAGGUAUGCCUGUUCGAGCGUCAUUUGUACCCUCAAGCUCUGCUUGGUGUUGGGUGUUUGUUCCGCCUCUGUGUGUGAACUCGCCUCAAAACAAUUGGCAGCCGGCGUACUUGUUUCGGAGCGCAGCACAUUUUGCGAUCCAGAUCAACGUACAGCGGCAUCCAAGAAGCCUUAUUUAACGCUCUUGACCUCGGAUCAGGUAGGGAUACCCGCUGAACUUAAGCAUAUCAAUAAGCGGAGGA
rnacentral:misc_RNA from 1 species